rnacentral:rRNA from 1 species
UAAGGAAUAUUGGUCGAUGGACGCAAGUCUGAACCAGCCAUGCCGCGUGAAGGAUGAAGGUCCUCUGGAUUGUAAACUUCUUUUAUCUGGGACGAAAACGGGAUUUUUAUCUCAAUUGACGGUACCAGAGGAGGAAGCCACGGCUAACUACGUGCCAGCAGCCGCGGUAAUACGUAGGUGGCAAGCGUUGUCCGGAUUUACUGGGCGUAAAGGAUGCGUAGGCGGAUACUUAAGUCAGAUGUGAAAAUCCCGGGCUUAACUUGGGAACUGCAUUUGAAACUGGGUAUCUAGAGUGCGGGAGAGGAAAGUGGAAUUCCUAAUGUAGCGGUGAAAUGCGUAGAGAUUAGGAAGAACACCAGUGGCGAAGGCGACUUUCUGGACCGUAACUGACGCUGAGGCAUGAAAGCGUGGGGAGCAAACA